CCUACGGGAGGCAGCAGUGGGGAAUAUUGCACAAUGGGCGCAAGCCUGAUGCAGCGACGCCGCGUGAGGGAUGACGGCCUUCGGAUUGUAAACCUCUUUCAGUACAGAACAAGGCCUUCGGGUUGAGGGUAUGUGCAGAAGAAGCGCCGGCUAACUACGUGCCAGCAGCCGCGGUAAU
rnacentral:rRNA from 1 species